GGCGAGCAGGGGAUUCAUCGGAGCUCGCGAUCGCUGCUCUGCCGCUCCUGCCGAUACCAAUGUGGAUGAGGAAGGGCCUCUGCGGACGGGAGAAAGCGGAGCUGCGCCGCCACAGAGGAGAGGGAGGCGUGUCACACCGUCCAAGAGAGUGAAGAAUCGAUGUCGCUGAAAGGGAUGACGGCCGCGACACCGCGAAAGAGGGACCCAUUAGAAGAGCAGUGCCUCUGCCGUCCCGAUGAACUGCAGUGCCUCUGCCGUCCCAAUGAACUCGGUACCGCUCGAUUCCAGGUCAUCGAGGCUGGUGAGAAGAGAUGAAGGAGCAGCAGGACCAGAGCUCAGGGUGCGGCCGCAUCAUGGUGAGAUGAGCAAGGGGGGAAUGGAGUAGGCCAUGGAGCAGCUCGGUGUGGAAUACAGAGAGAAUUUCUUGCAAUGUGGUGUGAGAGUAAUUUUCUUGCUGCUGUUACAGAAGGUUUGGAGGCAAAGAGAUUUUAGCUCGUGCUCUGAAAUUUUUGUUGCCUGCUGCUUUUCUAUCCGCUAAUGCUCCUUUGCUAUCUAUCUGCUGAUAUUGUUGCUCGGUUAUUUUCACUAAGACAGUGUGAGAGAAAUCGAGAGAUAGAAAGAUUGCUAGCUGCUGCUAUGAUUCUUUUACGAUCUUGUUGAUUGCUAGCUGCUGCUAAUAAGGCUACUUCUAGGAUGGAUGAUUGUGCUUUCGUCGAGUUCCUGUUGUGUUGUAUCGAGAUUAUGUUGUACUAUCAAAUGUUUGUGUUUGACAGAGAGUGGGAGAGAGAGAUAUGUAUGGUAAUUAUAGAAAACCAACAUAUUAUAUAUGUUACUAGGACAUAGAGAGUGAGAUUUGCCGCUUCUGUCGGAAUGUAAGCUAAUCCAAAUAUAUUUUUAUUU